CAGGCCUGGGGGAAGCGGGGUCCGGUGGAGCCGUGGUGCAGUGGCACCGCGUGGGUCCUGGAAGAGCUGCAGAGGAGAGUGACGGCUUUGGAUGCGCUUUGCCCAGGGCCUUUCUUCAUGGAGUUGGCCUUUUCCCUGCCCUUCUCUUCUCCUGGCGUGGUGACCUGCCUCCCUUCUCCUGGAUCGCUUUGCUGGCGGCCACCUUGUAACACCUCAGUGCUUGAGGGAAGAAAAUAAAUUCUCCAUUUC
rnacentral:lncRNA from 1 species